rnacentral:rRNA from 1 species
UACGGAGGAUGCAAGCGUAAUCCGGAAUCAUUGGGCGUAAAGAGCUCGUAGGCGGUUGGUCGGGUCGAUGGUGAAAACUUGGGGCUUAACCCUGAGCUUGCGGUCGAUACGGGCAUGACUGGAGUUCGGCAGGGGAGACUGGAAUUCCUGGUGUAGCGGUGAAAUGCGUAGAUAUCGAGAGGAACACCUGCGGCGAAGGCGGGUUGCUGGGCUGACACUGACGCUGAGGCGCGAAAGCUAGGGGAGCGAACGGG